rnacentral:rRNA from 1 species
GAUGAACGCUAGCGGCAGGCCUAACACAUGCAAGUUGAGGGGUAACAUAAGAAAGCUUGCUUUCUUGAUGACGACCAGCGAACGGGUGCGUAACACGUAUGGAACCUACCUUAUACAGGGGCAUAGCCCAGAGAAAUCUGGAUUAAUUUCCCAUAACACUUCAGAAUGGCAUCAUUCAGAAGUUAAAGCUCAGGCGGUAUAAGAUGGCCAUGCGGCCCAUUAGUUAGUUGGUGAGGUAACGGCUCACCAAGACCACGAUGGGUAGGGGUUCUGAGAGGAUUAUCCCCCACACUGGUACUGAGACACGGACCAGACUCCUACGGGAGGCAGCAGUGAGGAAUAUUGCGCAAUGGACGAAAGUCUGACGCAGCCAUGCCGCGUGCAGGAUGACAGCCCUAUGGGUCGUAAACUGCUUUUAUAUAGGAAGAAACCCUUUUACGUGUAAGAGGCUGACGGUACUAUAUGAAUAAGCACCGGCUAACUCCG